rnacentral:rRNA from 1 species
GAGUGAACGCUGGCGGUAGGCCUAACACAUGCAAGUCGAACGGCAGCACAGUAAGAGCUUGCUCUUACGGGUGGCGAGUGGCGGACGGGUGAGGAAUACAUCGGAAUCUACUUUUUCGUGGGGGAUAACGUAGGGAAACUUACGCUAAUACCGCAUACGACCUACGGGUGAAAGCAGGGGAUCUUCGGACCUUGCGCGAUUGAAUGAGCCGAUGUCGGAUUAGCUAGUUGGCGGGGUAAAGGCCCACCAUGGCGACGAUCCGUAGCUGGUCUGAGAGGAUGAUCAGCCACACUGGAACUGAGACACGGUCCAGACUCCUACGGGAGGCAGCAGUGGGGAAUAUUGGACAAUGGGCGCAAGCCUGAUCCAGCCAUACCGCGUGGGUGAAGAAGGCCUUCGGGUUGUAAAGCCCUUUUGUUGGGAAAGAAAAGCAGCAGGUUAAUACCCCGCUGUUCUGACGGUACCCAAAGAAUAAGCACCGGCUAACUUCGUG